UACGGGGGGGGCAAGCGUUGUUCGGAAUUAUUGGGCGUAAAGGGAGCGUAGGCGGUGCGGUAAGUUUGGUGUGAAACCUCUGGGCUCAACUCAGAGCUGGCAUCAAAGACUGCCGUGCUAGAGUGCGGGAGAGGAGAGUGGAAUUCCCGGUGUAGCGGUGAAAUGCGUAGAUAUCGGGAGGAACAUCGGUGGCGAAGGCGGCUCUCUGGACCGUAACUGACGCUGAGGCUCGAAAGCUAGGGGAGCAAACAGG
rnacentral:rRNA from 1 species